rnacentral:lncRNA from 1 species
ACAGAAAUAGACAUACUAUACAUACAGAAAUCACAUUUACAGUCAGAUUCAGAUUCAGAUUCAGAUUCAGAUUCAGAUUCGGACUUAAGUCUUUUACAGAUAUAGAUAACAAAAUCAAAUAAGUAGAACAAAUAUACAGAAUCCUUCCCCCAUCCUCUACACACCAACUCCAACCAUCCCAUCACACCAUGUGGGGUUAAAAACACCCACCCAUCCCUACACACCAUAUAGUAUCAAUAAGACACAUAACAGAAAAAUAUGCAAUCAGGCUACCAGAAUAUAGGCGAAGAGUCGUUAUACAGAUCACUUCCUCCAUAUAUACGAUUCUCACCCUAAUCAUAGAUACAUGAUACAAAUGUUGAAAUAUCAUGCUUAACAUGCUCGCAUACAUACAACAUAUAUAUAGAAUAGCUAGACAUACAUAAUAGUGUCCUACUUAGAGCAAACUAUCAGAAUAUCAGAUCACAUAAUUUAUGGUUUGGUUAUCUCUUACUGACCCUACGGUAGGUCCACAGUUGAUCAAAACGACCCGUGCGACCCUAGGGAAAAUUUAAGAAUUAUGGGCCCAUAUGCCCAUGUGGCCCACACACCCAGAUUGGCCUUACUCGUGUGGCCCACACGGCCUGGCCCAAAAAUCACAUGCUCGAGAGGCCCACCCACCUAAUCUGGCCUAGCCCGUGUGGCCCACACAGCCACACUCACACCAUCACACAGUCGUGUCUCACACACGACUGAGACACGACCAACCACAUGGCCAGACACACACCCGUGUUGAAUCGACAGAAUACUUUUUCGACUUUCGCUGAAACCCAAUUUUUUACGUUUUGAGAACACACCUCGUAUGAUUUGAUGCGAAACCAGUCCCGAGACCAUUAGCACCUAAAGAUAGAAUCUCAAUGCCCUAUUAGUAAACGAUUUACGAAUUCAAAAAAACUAAAUCGAGCAGUGCUCAAAACUUACCACCAUAGGAAUGACUACACACGAAAAACCGUUGAAGCAAAACUCACAGCUUCACCGCCUUCACCUACACAACCAUUUGCAGAAUUCAGAUUUCUUACAACUAUCAUUACGUCACAAAAACGAGAAUGAAACGAAAAACUUACCGAGACAGCGCGAAAGACAGUAAAAUGUGAACCGAUUUGGAAAAAAAUAAAAAAGAUAGAAAAACAAACGUAGAGGAUGAACAAGAGGACCAAACGGCAGAACCCAAGAGGAAUGGCAGAAAACUAACGUCAGAAAUUUAGAGGAGAGAAAAAAAAUCAAAUAAAAUCCAUCAAUUUUAGGCACAACCUCCUACUACCCACCAAAUCCCCCAAAAACUAACCACUAACCUCAUCCACUCUUAGAAUUUCAACUCCACUCAAAUUCUCACAGUCAUUCGAAGCAAAAACUAUCACCUUUGCUCAUGUAGGGAUUCAAACACAGGACCUCCAGUACACUAACACCUUACCACUCGAACCAGAAGGCUCAUUCUGAUAUGGAUUAACAGAAAAUUUUAUAUAAGCCCACUCAACAAGGAUAAGGCUUGGAUUUAAAAAUAACCAAAAUUUGCAACUGUGAGACUUGAACCCAAGACCUCAUACACACACCCAAAACACUUAACCAUUAAAGUAAAUACAUAUUUGUGUCAAGUAUUUAUAGAAGUAGAAAUAAAUUAUUCAGGGUGUUACAACUCUACCCCCUAAAAGAAAUUUCGG